GUGGACGGGAUGGACGAUGAAAGCCUAUGUUUCAUGGAGAGUCUGAGUGACAGCAACCAUGAUGAAAGUGAUACAGACUCAGUGGUGGAGAGCCUGAGCAGCCGCCAGGAUGAGGAGGCUGCAGACUCCUCUGGGACACCUUGAAGCCUCAGCCUGGGACUGGAAGAGUCCAAAAGUUUCCAUCUUGACCAGGAAACAAGAUUGACCUCACUCUUCAUCUAUUACGAGC
rnacentral:lncRNA from 1 species